UACAGAGGGGGCAAGCGUUAUUCGGAAUUACUGGGCGUAAAGCGUGCGCAGGCGGUUCGGAAAGAGAGGUGUGAAAUCCCAGGGCUUAACCUUGGAACUGCACUUCUAACUACCGGCUAGAGUACGUCAGAGGGGGGUAGAAUUCCACGUGUAGCAGUGAAAUGCGUAGAGAUGUGGAGGAAUACCGAUGGCGAAGGCAGCCCCCUGGGAUGAUACUGACGCUCAUGCACGAAAGCGUGGGAGC
rnacentral:rRNA from 1 species